AAAUAAUAUAAUCAAUCGAAAUAAAUUAAAUUAAUAUUAAAAUAAAAAAAUAAUUUUAUUUUAAAAAGAUCUCAUUUUAUAAAAAACAUAAAGAAUAAUUAAUAAUAUAAUUAACUAAUUAUAAGUGCCAGCAGUCGCGGUUAUUCUUAUAAUUCAUUUUACUUUCAAAUUUUAAAACACUAAAUAAUUCUUUUAUAAAAAUAUUAAGUAAAAUUCCAUUUUUUCAAAAAGAAUUAACAAUUUUUUAAAAAAAAUUUUAAAUUUAAAAUAGGAUUAGAUACCCUAGUAUAUUAAAAUAAUUUUAGGUAGUAGAAAUUUAAAUUUCAAACCUAUUUAUCAUGGCGGCAUUUCAUCUUAUUAGAGGAACUUGUUUUUUAAUCGAUAAUCCACGAUAACUUUCACUUUAAUUAAAAAUUUAUAUACCGCCAUCUAAAGAAUUAAUUCAAUGAUAUUAUUCUUAAUAAAAUAUAAAAAGUUAGGUCAAGGUGUAAUCAAUAUUAAAGUUAAAAUGAGUUACAUUAAAAAUUAAUUUAGAAUUAAAUAAUUUUAAUUAUUCAUGAAAGAGGAUUUAAAAGUAAUUUUAUAUUAAAUAAUAAUAUAUUAUGAAUUAGAUAACAAAUGUGCACAUAUCGCCCGUCACCCUUGUUACAAAAUAAGGUAAGUCGUAACAUAGUUGAUAUUUUGGAAAAAGUAUCAAG
rnacentral:ncRNA from 1 species